AGAGUUUGAUCAUGGCUCAGGAUGAACGCUAGCUACAGGCUUAACACAUGCAAGUCGAGGGGAAACGACAUCGAAAGCUUGCUUUUGAUGGGCGUCGACCGGCGCACGGGUGAGUAACGCGUAUCCAACCUGCCCACCACUUGGGGAUAACCUUGCGAAAGUAAGACUAAUACCCAAUGACGUCUCUAGAAGACAUCUGAAGGAGAUUAAAGGUUUAUCGGUGAUGGAUGGGGAUGCGUCUGAUUAGCUUGUUGGCGGGGUAACGGCCCACAAGGCGACGAUCAGUAGGGGUUCUGAGAGGAAGGUCCCCCANAUUGGAACUGAGACACGGUCAAACUCCUACGGGAGCA
rnacentral:rRNA from 1 species